CUUGUAAUAUUUAGUUUGACAAAUGAAAGUUCCCUCUUUCAUUUGCUUAACUUGCAGCCCCAAGAAGAGAUUAAGCUCGUCCAUCAUUGACAUCUCAACUUCGCUAGUCAUGAGUUUUAAAAACUCCUUGCAUAAAAACUUAUUAGUUGCUCCAAAAAUAAUAUCAUCAAUAUAAAUUUUAUUUUGAAACACAAAAAUAAUAUCAUCAACAUAAUAAUCAUGCAAUCUAUUUCCCUUUAAUGAAAAUUCCCCCUCAAACAAGGCAUACUAGAAUGUAAAGACAUUCCUCUUUAAUUGAUGCAUAUCGCCUAAACUCAUCUUCUAUUUUGCAUUAGCAUAAAGAGAGUAUAUUAAGGCNNN
rnacentral:lncRNA from 1 species